rnacentral:rRNA from 1 species
UACGUAGGGACCAAGCGUUGUUCGGAUUUACUGGGCGUAAAGGGCGCGUAGGCGGCUUGACAAGUCACUUGUGAAAUCUCCGGGCUUAACUCGGAACGGCCAAGUGAAACUGUCAUGCUAGAGUGCAGAAGGGGCAAUCGGAAUUCUUGGUGUAGCGGUGAAAUGCGUAGAUAUCAAGAGGAACACCUGAGGUGAAGCCGGGUUGCUGGGCUGACACUGACGCUGAGGCGCGAAAGCCAGGGGAGCAAACGGG